ACCUAACUAAAGAUAUUUUCAUGUAAAAAAUAUAAAACUGCUAUAAUAUUAAAAAAUCUCCAGUAUAAUACAUUUGAAACUCUGUCUGUCACUGUACAGUCAACAAUUCUAAAUGUGAAAUAAUUUCAACAACUUAUUUUAAACAGAAAAAAAUAUCUGAAUUGAGACGAUUCAACUAAAUUUGACCAUAAACAAGCAAUGUUUUCCUUUCAGUUAAUGCCUUUUUUUACAAUUUUUAAUUUCCUCCAUUCAUUUCAAAUAAAUAAAGGAGAAUCCUCAAUAUAUUAUAACUUAUAUAGAAGGGUUUCAAUAGGUCACUUUGGAGUUCAUCUGUCACUGGAAAAAACUUGUCAAUUAUGCACGCCUUUAUGACGUCAUUUACUAGAUAGAGGGGGUCGCCUGUAUCCCUGCACUAUUUACGUUAAUCAAGCGUUUUAGUGAUCAUCAUUGUGCAGGAUAAACUAGAAAUCUUAUUUGUUUUGUAAGUACUUUAAAAUUAUAAUUCCCUAAUGACAGCAAUGCUGAUUGUCAAUUAUGAGAAUUUAAUUUGCCGAAUAAUUCAUGCAAUAUAGCAUUAUAGGUUUUCAACCACUCGCUCAACAUUAGAACGAAAGUGACGAUGCCCCAUAACGUACAAAUGAUGUUCACUAAAACCAGAGUUUUUGACUGAAAUGCAUCGAACUCGAAAGUUGUCUAUUGACACAAUUUAAGCAAGAGUUACUUCCCUUUCCUCACUAUGUUGAGGAUUUUUAUCAGACUUUUUUGUACCCCAUGUAGCAAAUUGCUCAGUCAAAUAAAAAGUUCAACCAUUUAAGGUGGUACCCAACACUUUCACUAAAAUUAAUUUGGCUCGUUUAAUUUUCAUAAAAUUUUGACAAUGUAUUUACUUUGACCCUCUUACAAAAAUAUAAAAAUUUCAAAAAUUUUGAACCAACCGUUUUGUCAGAAAAAUUACACUGGUUAUAUAGCAGUUUGACAAACACAAAUUUUGAUCAUUGAUAAGCUUAACAUUCCCUUUACAACAUUUGUACAACAAAACAUAAUUAAAACGUUUUGCUGACUUUAUAGAGUUAUCUCCCUGUAGUGUUAGGUACCACCUUAAACCCUUGAAAAUGACAGCCAAUAGAGACAAUUAACACUCAAAUUACGCCAUAUUGAAAUAUUUGCCAGUUAAUGGUAGAAAAUUUAUUUAUAAUAUAUAUAUCAAGAUUCAUUAAACAAACCCUGUAAAAUUUCAAGUACACAC
rnacentral:lncRNA from 1 species